rnacentral:rRNA from 1 species
CGUGAGAUGUUGCGUUAAGUCGCGCAACGAGCGCAACCCCUGUCCUUAGUUGCCAUCAUUAAGUUGGGCACUCUAGGGAGACAAACCCUCUCUGAGGGUGGGAAGGUGGGGAUGACGUCAAGUCAGGAUGGCCCUUACGGCCUGGGCUGCACACGUGCUACAAUGCUCGGUACAGAGGGACGCAAUACCGCGAGGUGGAGCAAAUCCUCAAAACCGAGCCCAGUUCAGAUUGCAGUCUGCAAUUCGACUGCA